rnacentral:rRNA from 1 species
UACGUAGGGGGCAAGCGUUGUCCGGAUUUAUUGGGCGUAAAGAGCGUGUAGGCGGCCUGACAGGUCUGCUGUGAAAACUCGAGGCUCAACCUCGAGAUGUCGGCGGAAACCGUCUGGCUAGAGUCCGGAAGAGGCGAGUGGAAUUCCUGGUGUAGCGGUGAAAUGCGCAGAUAUCAGGAAGAACACCUAUGGCGAAGGCAGCUCGCUGGGACGGUACUGACGCUGAGACGCGAAAGCGUGGGGAGCGAACAGG